rnacentral:rRNA from 1 species
AGAGUUUGAUCCUGGCUCAGGACGAACGCUGGCGGCGCGCCUAACACAUGCAAGUCGAACGGAGUUAUUUUCUUCACUCCGAGCUUUUUGCCAGUUAGCCGGAGCGGCAAUCGGUUUUGCCCAGCAUAAAAAGCAAAACCGAUUUAGGCUCAUAAAGUAAGGCUAACACAGAGGGCAGAGAGUUGGGAGUGAAGAAAAUAACUUAGUGGCGAACGGGUGAGUAACGCGUGAGUAACCUGCCCUGGAGUGGGGGACAACAGUUGGAAACGACUGCUAAUACCGCAUAAGCCCACGGCCCGGCAUCGGGCUGCGGGAAAAGGAUUUAUUCGCUUCAGGAUGGACUCGCGUCCAAUUAGCUAGUUGGUGAGGUAACGGCCCACCAAGGCGACGAUUGGUAGCCGGACUGAGAGGUUGAACGGCCACAUUGGGACUGAGACACGGCCCAGACUCCUACGGGAGGCAGCAGUGGGGAAUAUUGCACAAUGGGGGAAACCCUGAUGCAGCGACGCCGCGUGGAGGAAGAAGGUCUUCGGAUUGUAAACUCCUGUUGUUGAGGAAGAUAAUGACGGUACUCAACAAGGAAGUGACGGCUAACUACGUGCCAGCAGCCGCGGUAAAACGUAGGUCACAAGCGUUGUCCGGAAUUACUGGGUGUAAAGGGAGCGCAGGCGGGAAGACAAGUUGGAAGUGAAAUCUAUGGGCUCAACCCAUAAACUGCUUUCAAAACUGUUUUUCUUGAGUAGUGCAGAGGUAGGCGGAAUUCCCGGUGUAGCGGUGGAAUGCGUAGAUAUCGGGAGGAACACCAGUGGCGAAGGCGGCCUACUGGGCACCAACUGACGCUGAGGCUCGAAAGUGUGGGUAGCAAACAGGAUUAGAUACCCUGGUAGUCCACACCGUAAACGAUGAUUACUAGGUGUUGGAGGAUUGACCCCUUCAGUGCCGCAGUUAACACAAUAAGUAAUCCACCUGGGGAGUACGACCGCAAGGUUGAAACUCAAAGGAAUUGACGGGGGCCCGCACAA